GAUCCAUUGGAGGGCAAGUCUGGUGCCAGCAGCCGCGGUAACACCAGCUCCAAUAGCGUAUAUUAAAGUUGUUGCAGUUAAAAAACUCGUAGUUGGAUUUCUGGUCUGGAUUGCCUGGUCCGUCCCAAACGGGAUGUUGACCGGUUGUGGUCCAGCCAUUCUUCGUGGAGAACUUAAUGGCUCUUGAUUGAGUUUCAUUAAGGGAUCCCGAUCAUUUACUUUGAGAAAAUUAGAGUGUUCAAAGCAGGCUUAUGCCUUGAAUACAUUAGCAUGGAAUAAUAAGAUAAGACUUUGGUCUUGUUUUGUUGGUUUCUAAGACUGAAGUAAUGAUUGAUAGGGAUAGUUGGGGGUGCUCGUAUUCAACGGCCAGAGGUGAAAUUCAGUGAUUCGUUGAAGACGAACUUAUGCGAAAGCAUUCACCAAGGAUGUCUUCUUUAAUCAAGAACGAAAGUUGCGGGAGCGAAGACGAUCAGAUACCGUCGUAGUCUCAACCAUAAACGAUGCCGACUAGGGAUUGGUGGAUGUUAGUUUUUGACUCCAUCAGCACCUUCCGAGAAAUCAAAGUCUUUGGGUUCCGGGGGGAGUAUGGUCGCAAGGCUGAAACUUAAAGGAAUUGACGGAAGGGCACCACAAGGAGUGGAGCCUGCGGCUUAAUUUGACCCAACACGGGAAAACUUACCAGGUCCAGACAUAGUAAGGAUUGACAGAUAGCAGCUCUUUCUUGAUUCUAUGGGUGGUGGUGCAUGGCCGUUCUUAGUUGGUGGAGUGAUCUGUCUGGUUGAUUCCGUUAACGAACGAGACCUCAGCCUACAAAAUAGUUGAGCCAAUGUUGCAUUGGCGAUCAACUUCUUAGAGGGACUUUGGGUGUCGAGCCCAAGGAAGUUUGAGGCAAUAACAGGUCUGUGAUGCCCUUAGAUGUUCUGGGCUGCACGCGCGCUACACUGGUGCAUUCAACGAGUUUACAACCUUGAUCGAAAGAUCUGGGUAAUCUUUGAAAAUGCACCGUGCUUGGGCUAGAUUAUUGCAAUUAUUAAUCUUAAACGAGGAAUUCCUAGUAAGCGCGAGUCAUCAGCUCGCACUGAUUACGUCCCUGCCCUUUGUACACACCGCCCGUCGCUCCUACCGAUUGAAUGAUCCGGUGGAAUCAACGGACUGCGGCGAAUAUGCAUUCGUGCAUUGUUCUGCUGUCAGGAAGUGGAUUAAACCUUAUCAUUU
rnacentral:rRNA from 1 species